GCGUUCUUCUCUCUUUGCAUCGUCUCUCUCUUGUUCUUCCUAAAUCUACCAUUGUUGUGUUACUCCAUGGAUCAUCCCUUUGAAACCGAAUCGAUUGUGCCGGAAACCCCGGCCUCUGAUCUCUGUGAAUUGGCGCCGUGGUUGCUGGCUGAAACCGAGCCGCCGCACCUUCUUAUCUCUGAAUCGGAGAAAACGACGCCGGUAGCUGAAGCGGCGCCAUGGUUGCUGCCGGAUACUGAAGCGGCUCGUCUCCCUCUCUCUGAAUCGGAGCAGAUGUCGCCGGUAGCUGAAGCGGCGCCGUGGUUGCUGCCGGAUACUGAAGUGUCUCGCUUCCCUCUCUCUGAAUCGGAGCAGAUGUCGCCGGUAUCUGAAGCGGCGCCGUGGUUGCUGCCAGAAACUGAGCCGCCGCACCUCCCUCUCUCUGAAUCGGAGGAAUCUCUCUCUGAAUCACCGGACUAUGAUUCUGAUGGCUUCCAUCUCUCUGAACACAUCAGAGAGAGAGGGAAAAGACCGAUCGAAUUCAGUUUCGAAUUUAAAAAAUGAAUGAAACAUUUCUGCCUAUUAAAUUUGAAUUCAGUUUCAAAUUCCACAAAGUAAAAAUUAAUUAAUCAAUGAAACAUAAAAUUAAGACUUAAAUUGAAACAUAACAUUAAAUGAAAAGCUUAAAGUCAAUAAAGUAAAAGCAUUCUCUUAAGUAAAGAUUAGCAAAAAAGUAAACAACUACCCUUAUCUUUUCCUACAACACCUUUUUCAGCUUUCUUAAGCUCCGUGCCCAACUCCAAAUGGGGCUUUAAUUCGCGGAUGGAGGGAGUACCUGAUUUUUCAUUGAACGGGGACGGAUGCCGAUUUGAUGUCGACGCUAACCGCGAGGAAAAGGAGGGGGCUGACUGCCCUGCUCCCCUGGACUUCAAGAAGAGGGCGCAACGACCCUGUUCUGCCGCUCAUCGAAGGCUCAGAGAUAUAGGAGAGUACCCCUCGCCGGAGCCGUACAGUGCCCACGACUUUUGCCGAAGCCGAGGUGAGCCCCGGGCUCAACCCCGAGGAAGAGAAGGCGGAGGUCGUCGGGCUCAAAGAGGUUACUCCGCCUAAACCGAGAGGAAAAGAGAGGGAGGCUAGGGCUAACCGCGUCGGCAGGAGGUAGAGCUAGGGCUCAACGGAGAGGCGAUUUCCGGCCAAGGAAAGCGCGGCGGUGCUGUAAUGCUUAACAGCGGCGGCCUCGCCGGAACCGGAUGGGAGAAGUAGCAGAUUGAGUUUGAGAAGAGGAUUAGGGCUCCGUUUCGUUUCCAAUUGACAAUGUGUGUUUUCUGAAAUUUGGGGAUCGGGAGGAAAAGCACGAGAAAAGAGGACGGACGAAGGGCGUGACGGCAGGGAAGAUGAGGACGCCAAAUGGCCGUCGCCGGCGGCGCGGCUUUCAGAGGCGGCGACUUUCGAGAGAGAGAUCGCGAAACAGGGAGAGAAUGCGAGAAAGGAAUGGCGACAAUAGUUGAGAGAAGAAACGCCGGAUUUCAGAGUGGCGGAGGCGGCCGUUCGCCGGUGCUAAAAGAGUCAGCGGCGGCGACGAAUUUGGCAUGAAGAAGAGAGUGCUGAUCCUUUCAGUCGUUCCUGACUAAAAAAGAAGAGGUGGGCCUCUUGCUUGGGCUGAAUUUAUUCCUUAAGGUGGGCCGAAAUGUUGGGCUGGAUUUAAUUAGAAAAUGGCUUACUUAUUUCCUUAAAUGAGCCCAGGUUUGAGUAUUAAGUAGAGUGGACUGAUUAGAAUUUAUUAAAUUGGGCCUUUAUUAUUUCUCCUA
rnacentral:lncRNA from 1 species